GCAAGUCGAACGGAGGUCAUGAUUCGGUUGAUGAUCUAGUGGCGGACGGGUGAGUAACGCGUGAGCAACCUGCCCUGUGAGUGGAAUAACAAACUGGAAACGGGUGCUAAUACCGCAUAACGUACCGGGUAAGCAUUUACCUGAUACCAAAGGAGAAAUCCGCACAAGGAUGGGCUCGCGUCCGAUUAGUCUGUUGGUGAGGUAACGGCUCACCAAAACUGCGAUCGGUAGCCGGACUGAGAGGUUGAACGGCCACAUGGAACUGAGAGACGGUCCAGACUCCUACGGGAGGCAGCAGUAGGGAAUAUUGGGCAAUGGGCGGAAGCCUGAACCCCCAGCAACGCCGCGUGAAGGAAGAAGGUCUUCGGAUUGUAAACUUUAGUAAGCAGGGAAGAAGAAGAUGACGGUACCUGCAGAGUAAGCCACGGCUAACUACGUGCCAGCCGCCGC
rnacentral:rRNA from 1 species